rnacentral:lncRNA from 10 species
GGGGUUUCUCCUGGGGGGCGAUGAAAAUGCUCUGGAGUUAGGAAAUGCUGACGGUUGCACAGCUCUGUGCAUACACUAAAGCUACUAUAUUGCACACUUUAAAAAGGGAGAUUUUAUGGAUAUUUGAACCAUAUCUCAAUAAAGGUGUCAAAAUAAAUACAUAAAUUAGGAGGACUUCAAUAAAUAAAAAAAUAAAGGGAGAUCACAGAGAUAAAGGUGUCACUUUCAUGAUAUCAUAUCAAGGGUAUGUACUAUCAACAUGAUUUAUGAGUGCUGAUGUUGACCUUGAUCACCUAGCUGAAAUAGUGUUUGUUUUUAUUCUUUCUUUCUUUUUUUUUUUUGAGAUGGAGUCUCACUCUUAUCACCCAGGCUGGAGUACAAUGGCACAAUCUCAGCUCACUGCAACCUCCGCCUCCCUGGUUCAAGCAAUUCUCCUGCCUCAGCCUCCCAGGUAGCUGGGAUUACAGGCACCUGCCACCCCACCUGGCUAAUUUUUGUAUUUUUAGUAGAGAUGGGGGUUUCACCAUGUUGGCCAGGCUGGUCUUGAACUCCUGACCUCAAUGAUCCGCCCACCUUGGCCUCCCAAAGUGCUGGGAUUACAGGUGUGAGCCACUGCACCCAGCCUGGUGGUUUAUGGAUCAUUUAUUCUUUUCUAAAUUAAAAAGUAUGUAAGUACGGAUUCACAGAUAUUUUUCUACACUUUGGGUUGUAAUCCAAUACUACUUUAUUUUGUUGGUGACAUUGUUCCAACUUUGGCCACUGGGACACAGUUGACUCCUGUGCCUCUCUGACAUACCCCCAUCUGUGUAGUAUUUUUUUAGACGGAGUUUCACUCUUGUUGCCCAGGCUGGAGUGCAAUGGCGUGAUUUUGGCUCACCACAACCUCCGCCUCCCAGGUUCAAGCAAGUCUCCUGCCUCAGCUUCCCAAGUAGCCGGGAUUACAGGCACGUGCCACCAUGCCCGGCUAAUUUUGUAUUUUUAGUAGAGACAGGGUUUCUCCAUGUUGGUCAGGCUGGUCCCGAAUUCCCAACCUCAGGUGAUCUGCCCGCCUCAGCCUCCCAAAGUGCUGGGAUUACAGGCGUGAGCCACCGCGCCCGGCAGUAAUUUUUUCUAAACUCAAUUUUGUGCAGACUUUGGCACAAGCUCCUCCCAGCAUCUCUAAGCCCAGCUGGCACCGAGAUGGGUGUGUCAAGCGGAUGUUGCAGUGUUGUGCCAGCCUGGGCACGUCUGCUUGUGAAGAGCAAAGCAAUGAAGAGCCGAGAGCUUCCUGCAGUUGGGUGUACCAGGCUCCAUAAACCACCAGGCCUAUAACAGGGAACACCACCGGCAGAGUGAUGAAAUUGUCUUGUUUGUUUAAUAUUUGUCAUAAGUUUCAGUUGUUUAUUGCCUGAUUUUUAUGUUUAUGAUGACGAAAAGCAGUUGUUCGAUAUUUUGAUAAUUACUCCGUUUUUUUUUUUUUUUUUUUUUGAGACAGAGUCUCGCUCUGUCACCCAGGCUGGAGUGCAGUGGCAUGAUCUGGGCUCACUGCAAGCUCCGCCUCCGGGGUUCAUGCCAUUCUCCUGCCUCAGCCUCCUGAGUAGCUGGGACUACAGGCGUCUGCCACUGUGCCCGGCUAAUUUUUUGUAUUUUUAGUAGAGACGGAGUUUCACCGUGGUCUCGAUCUCCUGACCUCAUGAUCUGCCCGCCUCCGCCUCCCAAAGUGCUGGGAUUACAGGCGUAAGCCACCGCGCCCGGCCUCAACUUUGAAACAAAUACUUCUACUACUUCUCUUUCUAGCUUCUAGAUUGGUUUUUUUUUUUUUUUUUUUUUGAGACGGAGUCUCACUCUGUUGCCAGACUGGAGUGUAGUGGCGCGGUCUCGGCUCACUGCAACCUCCGCCUCCUGGGUUCAAGCGAUUCUCCUGCCUCAGUCUCCCAAGUAGCUGGGAUUACAGGCAUGCGCGACCACACCUGGCUGAUUUUU